AAGUCGUAACAAGGUUUCCGUAGGUGAACCUGCGGAAGGAUCAUUACCGAGUGGCGCGAAAUUCCUGUCGUGAGACGGGGAAGCUACCCGACCUUUUGUCAUUUUGUCAAGUCUGGCUGGCGGGAUUGCAUUCGUGAGAAAGCGAAUGUGGAUUUCGGCAGACGGACCAAAACUUCGGCGGAAGAGGUAGGCGUGGACCUGCCCGCCGCCGGCCGUAUAAGACAAUACACAUUCUUGAGAGCAAACUGAAGUCUAAGACGAUCCUUGAAAAAGGAAUACCAAAAAAAAGCAAAACUUUCAACAACGGAUCUCUUGACUCUG
rnacentral:misc_RNA from 1 species